rnacentral:lncRNA from 1 species
UGUUUCCUUUUGAGCAAGUUAAGUUAGACAUCACAGUACUUAGUAAUGCUUGCUACUACUCCCUCCGUUCCAAAUUAUUGAACUAAAACCACAACGAGUAAUUUGGAACGGAGGGAGUAGUAUAUGACAUGAACAAGCCUUGCAUGGUGACGAUAGCCCUUGAUACAUUUUGCUUCUUUCAAUAACUUCUAUGAGCAAUGCCAGCCCUGAUUGCCCUGUUACCUGCUUCUGUCUAUAUAUGAAUGUUACAUCUGUGCUGAUCUUGUCUGAAAACAAUCACAAUCUGAUAGUUUCUGUAACCAGCUGUGUAAGAAACUUUUGGUGCAAUUUAAGGGCAAGUUCAAUCAAUACUUGUACAGUCCAUCUUGCAAUUUAGAAUGUGUCCAUUACACACACGUGCGAUUCAGGAUGAUAUGUCUUCGUUCAAAUAUCCUAAGCCCAGGAUAAUGUACCUAUCUACAUAGUCUUACAUUUAACGGGUUAGCUUGAGCAAAUUUAUCAGUCACAGCAGAAGGUAACAGUUUAGCUUCGAGUUCAAAGGAUGAUAUCGAACUAGCAGUGGGUCUUGUGAGCUUCUGUUUAGACAGGCUAACUGUUACAGACUUUAUCAUGCUCUGUGUGUGUGUGUUCUUUAUGGUGCUUUUGGUCUGGUUGCAGUAAUGUCGUCGUAUUUUAUGUUUCAAAAGUUGACGUUGCCUUGCUAUGAUCAAUCCAUGCGGACGGAAUAAAUAGUCUAUUAGUUCAGUUGUGAUAAUGAUCUGGCGACUGGUGUCUGGUGGCACAUAAACUUUAACUGACUGAGUUGGUGUAUUCAUAUACAGAUAGAUGGGCUUGUGUGGAUGCUGCUGGUGGUUUUUUUGCUUGUCACAAAUUUGUUGGCAUACUGAAUGAAGACCGGUUUCUUGGUCCCAGGGGAUGGAGCAUGUCUGAAGUUUGAGGAAACAUAAACAAAGUCAUCGAGGGCAGAUCAUGGGGCUCAUGUACGCCACUCAGUUCUCGCGGGUGCCUUUUGAUAGCGCUCGAUGUUCUUAUCAUUUUCGUGAAGUUGGCGUCAGGCAGAGGGUCGGUGUCGGCUGUUGUUGGGGUUGAACUGAUUUCAGUCCCAGCAUUAUUAGGUAAAAACUAAUCAUGUUCGAAAGCUGCCGCAAGAAUGUUCGCGCUGACUUGAAUGUGGCUUGUUGGUAUUGUCGCUGUAAAUUUGUUCUGGACACCCUAUGAGGGUAUCUUCCUGUAUUACUUCUGACUCAUAUUGGGAUUGAUUGAUCAUGAACAUGGUAAAUUGCAUGUAUUUGCUAGAACUACACUGGAAAGAUUUCAUUGGCCAGGCAAAACAAAAUAUGCAAUGUAUUUUCUUCAAUAUUUCAUCCUCAAGGAAAUAAAUGCAUGCAGUUCCU